GUCCCGAAAAAGCAACUUACUCCGAAAGGGUAGGGCGCAAAUUGGUAAGCCUGCAGCCAGGGUAUCGGUAUGGCUGUGCCAAUGCCGAA
rnacentral:ncRNA from 1 species